rnacentral:rRNA from 1 species
CAAUAGCGUAUAUUAAAGUUGUUGCAGUUAAAAAGCUCGUAGUUGGAUUUGUGGCUGUCACGGGCGGCCUAUCACUUAGUGUUAGUGCUUGCCUGUGUCGCCAUCCUUGGGUGGAGCCCGUGUGGCAUUAGGUUGUCGUGCGGGGGAUGCCCAUCGUUUACUGUGAGAAAAUUAGAGUGUUCAAAGCAGGCUUAUGCCGUUGAAUAUGUUAGCAUGGAAUAAUAAGAUAGGACCUCGGUACUAUUUUGUUGGUUUGCGCACCGAGGUAAUGAUUAAUAGGGACAGUUGGGGGUAUUCGUAUUUCAUUGUCAGAGGUGAAAUUCUUGGAUUUCUGAAAGGCGAACUACUGCGAAAGCAUUUACCAAGGAUGUUUUCAUUAA